CCCAGAUAGCUUAGAUCUGAGUGCACAUUAUUAUUGAAUGGGGCUCAGAUCACACACAUACAAUUCAAUUGCCAUGGAGCUAAAGUCUUUUCCAUAGUCUUUCGUUACACGAAUUGGCUCCAUGGCAUAGCUAUCUGGGGUAGCACUACUCACAUACUGAAAGUCCCGAACAACCCGGCAGAAAUACCCAAAUAAACCUUAUUGCAGGGUAAAAUACAGCUAUCAGCACAGGGGCCAUAGUUGGAAGGCAGGAGGCUAGCCAG
rnacentral:lncRNA from 1 species